UCAGGAUGAACGCUAGCUACAGGCUUAACACAUGCAAGUCGAGGGGCGAGCAUGAUCUUAGCUUGCUAAGAUGAUGGCGACCGGCGCACGGGUGAGUAACGCGUAUCCAACCUUCCCUGUACUAGGGGAUAGCCCGGCGAAAGUCGGAUUAAUACCCUAUGUUUUCCGAAGCGAGCAUUUAAUUUGGAACAAAGGUUUACCGGUAUAGGAUGGGGAUGCGUCUGAUUAGAUAGUAGGCGGGGUAACGGCCCACCUAGUCGACGAUCAGCAGGGGUUCUGAGAGGAAGGUCCCCCACAUUGGAACUGAGACACGGUCCAAACUCCUACGGGAGGCAGCAGUGAGGAAUAUUGGUCAAUGGGCGAGAGCCUGAACCAGCCAAGUAGCGUGCCAGGAUGACGGCCCUAUGGGUUGUAAACUGCUUUUAUAUAGGGAUAAAGUGAGGGACGUGUCCCUUAUUGUAGGUACUAUAUGAAUAAGGACCGGCUAAUUCCGUGCCAGCAGCCGC
rnacentral:rRNA from 1 species